rnacentral:rRNA from 1 species
AGAAUCAACGCUGGCGGCGUGCCUAACACAUGCAAGUCGCACGAGAAAGGGGAGCAAUCCCUGAGUACAGUGGCGCACGGGUGAGUAACACGUGAAUCAUCUACCUCCGAGUGGGGAAUAACUGAGAGAAAUCUUAGCUAAUACCGCAUAAUACCCACGGGUCAAAGCAGUAAUGCGCUUGGAGAGGAGUUCGCGGCAGAUUAGUUAGUUGGCGGGGUAAUGGCCCACCAAGACGAUGAUCUGUA